rnacentral:rRNA from 1 species
GACGAACGCUGGCGGCGUGCUUAACACAUACAAGUCGAACGAUGAAACCUAGCUUGCUAGGUCGAUUAGUGGCGAACGGGUGAGUAACACGUGACUAACCUGCCCCUUUCUCUGGGAUAACGCUCCGAAAGGAGUGCUAAUACCGGAUACUCACACCGAGGCACAUGCCUUGGUGUGGAAAGUUUUUCGGAAAGGGAUGGAGUCGCGGCCUAUCAGCUUGUUGGUGAGGCAACGGCUCACCAAGGCGACGACGGGUAGCCGGCCUGAGAGGGCGACCGGCCACACUGGGACUGAGACACGGCCCAGACUCCUACGGGAGGCAGCAGUGGGGAAUAUUGCACAAUGGGCGCAAGCCUGAUGCAGCGACGCCGCGUGAGGGAUGAAGGUCUUCGGAUUGUAAACCUCUUUCAGUAGGGACGAAGCGAAAGUGACGGUACCUAAAGAAGAAGCACCGGCUAACUACGUGCCAGCAGCCGCCGUAA